rnacentral:rRNA from 1 species
GGGUUGUGAGGUUAAGCGACUAAGCGUACACGGUGGAUGCCCUGGCAGUCAGAGGCGAUGAAGGACGUGCUAAUCUGCGAUAAGCGUCGGUAAGGUGAUAUGAACCGUUAUAACCGGCGAUUUCCGAAUGGGGAAACCCAGUGUGUUUCGAUACACUAUCAUUAACUGAAUCCAUAGGUUAAUGAGGCGAACCGGGGGAACUGAAACAUCUAAGUACCCCGAGGAAAAGAAAUCAACCGAGAUUCCCCCAGUAGCGGCGAGCGAACGGGGAGCAGCCCAGAGCCUGAAUCAGUGUGUGUGUUAGUGGAAGCGUCUGGAAAGGCGCGCGAUACAGGGUGACAGCCCCGUACACAAAAAUGCACAUGCUGUGAGCUCGAUGAGUAGGGCGGGACACGUGGUAUCCUGUCUGAAUAUGGGGGGACCAUCCUCCAAGGCUAAAUACUCCUGACUGACCGAUAGUGAACCAGUACCGUGAGGGAAAGGCGAAAAGAACCCCGGCGAGGGGAGUGAAAAAGAACCUGAAACCGUGUACGUACAAGCAGUGGGAGCACGCUUAGGCGUGUGACUGCGUACCUUUUGUAUAAUGGGUCAGCGACUUAUAUUCUGUAGCAAGGUUAACCGAAUAGGGGAGCCGAAGGGAAACCGAGUCUUAACUGGGCGUUAAGUUGCAGGGUAUAGACCCGAAACCCGGUGAUCUAGCCAUGGGCAGGUUGAAGGUUGGGUAACACUAACUGGAGGACCGAACCGACUAAUGUUGAAAAAUUAGCGGAUGACUUGUGGCUGGGGGUGAAAGGCCAAUCAAACCGGGAGAUAGCUGGUUCUCCCCGAAAGCUAUUUAGGUAGCGCCUCGUGAAUUCAUCUCCGGGGGUAGAGCACUGUUUCGGCAAGGGGGUCAUCCCGACUUACCAACCCGAUGCAAACUGCGAAUACCGGAGAAUGUUAUCACGGGAGACACACGGCGGGUGCUAACGUCCGUCGUGAAGAGGGAAACAACCCAGACCGCCAGCUAAGGUCCCAAAGUCAUGGUUAAGUGGGAAACGAUGUGGGAAGGCCCAGACAGCCAGGAUGUUGGCUUAGAAGCAGCCAUCAUUUAAAGAAAGCGUAAUAGCUCACUGGUCGAGUCGGCCUGCGCGGAAGAUGUAACGGGGCUAAACCAUGCACCGAAGCUGCGGCAGCGACACUAUGUGUUGUUGGGUAGGGGAGCGUUCUGUAAGCCUGUGAAGGUGUGCUGUGAGGCAUGCUGGAGGUAUCAGAAGUGCGAAUGCUGACAUAAGUAACGAUAAAGCGGGUGAAAAGCCCGCUCGCCGGAAGACCAAGGGUUCCUGUCCAACGUUAAUCGGGGCAGGGUGAGUCGACCCCUAAGGCGAGGCCGAAAGGCGUAGUCGAUGGGAAACAGGUUAAUAUUCCUGUACUUGGUGUUACUGCGAAGGGGGGACGGAGAAGGCUAUGUUGGCCGGGCGACGGUUGUCCCGGUUUAAGCGUGUAGGCUGGUUUUCCAGGCAAAUCCGGAAAAUCAAGGCUGAGGCGUGAUGACGAGGCACUACGGUGCUGAAGCAACAAAUGCCCUGCUUCCAGGAAAAGCCUCUAAGCAUCAGGUAACAUCAAAUCGUACCCCAAACCGACACAGGUGGUCAGGUAGAGAAUACCAAGGCGCUUGAGAGAACUCGGGUGAAGGAACUAGGCAAAAUGGUGCCGUAACUUCGGGAGAAGGCACGCUGAUAUGUAGGUGAAGUCCCUCGCGGAUGGAGCUGAAAUCAGUCGAAGAUACCAGCUGGCUGCAACUGUUUAUUAAAAACACAGCACUGUGCAAACACGAAAGUGGACGUAUACGGUGUGACGCCUGCCCGGUGCCGGAAGGUUAAUUGAUGGGGUUAGCCGCAAGGCGAAGCUCUUGAUCGAAGCCCCGGUAAACGGCGGCCGUAACUAUAACGGUCCUAAGGUAGCGAAAUUCCUUGUCGGGUAAGUUCCGACCUGCACGAAUGGCGUAAUGAUGGCCAGGCUGUCUCCACCCGAGACUCAGUGAAAUUGAACUCGCUGUGAAGAUGCAGUGUACCCGCGGCAAGACGGAAAGACCCCGUGAACCUUUACUAUAGCUUGACACUGAACAUUGAGCCUUGAUGUGUAGGAUAGGUGGGAGGCUUUGAAGUGUGGACGCCAGUCUGCAUGGAGCCGACCUUGAAAUACCACCCUUUAAUGUUUGAUGUUCUAACGUUGACCCGUAAUCCGGGUUGCGGACAGUGUCUGGUGGGUAGUUUGACUGGGGCGGUCUCCUCCUAAAGAGUAACGGAGGAGCACGAAGGUUGGCUAAUCCUGGUCGGACAUCAGGAGGUUAGUGCAAUGGCAUAAGCCAGCUUGACUGCGAGCGUGACGGCGCGAGCAGGUGCGAAAGCAGGUCAUAGUGAUCCGGUGGUUCUGAAUGGAAGGGCCAUCGCUCAACGGAUAAAAGGUACUCCGGGGAUAACAGGCUGAUACCGCCCAAGAGUUCAUAUCGACGGCGGUGUUUGGCACCUCGAUGUCGGCUCAUCACAUCCUGGGGCUGAAGUAGGUCCCAAGGGUAUGGCUGUUCGCCAUUUAAAGUGGUACGCGAGCUGGGUUUAGAACGUCGUGAGACAGUUCGGUCCCUAUCUGCCGUGGGCGCUGGAGAACUGAGGGGGGCUGCUCCUAGUACGAGAGGACCGGAGUGGACGCAUCACUGGUGUUCGGGUUGUCAUGCCAAUGGCACUGCCCGGUAGCUAAAUGCGGAAGAGAUAAGUGCUGAAAGCAUCUAAGCACGAAACUUGCCCCGAGAUGAGUUCUCCCUGACUCCUUGAGAGUCCUGAAGGAACGUUGAAGACGACGACGUUGAUAGGCCGGGUGUGUAAGCGCAGCGAUGCGUUGAGCUAACCGGUACUAAUGAACCGUGAGGCUUAACCUUACAACGCCGAAG